UUKGGAGGGGCAAGUCUGGKGCCAGCARCCGCGGUAAWUUCCAGCUMCAAUAGCGUAUAUUAAAGUUGUUGUGGUUAAAAAGYUCGUAGUUGAACCUUGGGRCUGGCUGGCCGGUCCGSCUCACCGCGUGUAYUGGUCCGGCCGGGCCUUUCCCUCUGUGGAACCCCAUGCCYUUCACUGGGWGUGGCGGGGAAACWGGACUUUUACUUUGAAAAAAUUAGAGUGCUCCAGGKAGGCSUAUGCUCGAAUACAUUAGCAUGGAAUAAUAGAAUAGGASGUGUGGUUCUAUUUUGUUGGUUUCUAGGRCCGCYGUAAUGAUUAAUAGGGACAGUCGGGGGCAUCAGUAUUCAAUUGUCGGAGGUGAAAUUCUUGGAUUUAWUGAAGACUAWMUASUGCGAAAGCAUUUGCCAAGGAUGUUUUCAUUAAUCAGGAACGAAAGUUAGGGGAUCGAAGACGAUCAGAUACCAUCGURGUCUUAACCAUAAACUAUGCCGACUAGGGAUCGGACGGUGKUAUUUUUUGACCCGKUCGGCGCCUUACGGGAAAC
rnacentral:rRNA from 1 species